rnacentral:rRNA from 1 species
AGUCCCUUGGAACAGGGCGUCAUAGAGGGUGAAAAUCCCGUAUGUGGCCGGCGGUCAAUUCCAUGUGAAACCCCUUCGACGAGUCGAGUUGUUUGGGAAUGCAGCUCAAAAUGGGUGGUAAAUUUCAUCUAAAGCUAAAUACCGGCCAGAGACCGAUAGCGCACAAGUAGAGUGAUCGAAAGAUGAAAAGCACUUUGGAAAGAGAGUUAAACAGUACGUGAAAUUGUUGAAAGGGAAGCGCUUGCAACCAGACUUGCUCGCGGGUGAUCAGCCUCCCGUGAGGGGGGUGCACUCGCCCGCGAUCAGGCCAGCAUCGGUUUUGGCGGGCGAAUAAAGUCCCCAGGAAUGUAGCUCCCCUCGAGGAGUGUUAUAGCCUGGGGCGUCAUGCGCCCAGCCGGGACCGAGGACCGCGCUUCGGCUAGGAUGCUGGCGUAAUGGUUGUAAGCGACCCGUCUUGAAACACGGACCAAGGAGUCUAACAUCUAUGCGAGUGUUUGGGUGUUAAACCCAUGCGCGGAAUGAAAGUGAACGGAGGUGGGAACCCCCUCAGGGGCGCACCAUCGACCGAUCCUGAUGUCUUCGGAUGGAUUUGAGUAGGAGCAUGGCUGUUGGGACCCGAAAGAUGGUGAACUAUGCCUGAAUAGGGUGAAGCCAGAGGAAACUCUGGUGGAGGCUCGCAGCGGUUCUGACGUGCAAAUCGAUCGUCAAAUUUGGGUAUAGGGGCGAAAGGUACGUGGAUUCUACGCAA